GCCGAGCGGCUGCGGUGCUG
rnacentral:misc_RNA from 1 species